UCCACCACCCUCCAUUUCCUUCUUCAGUCACCGAAGCGAGCCCAGCGGCCUUCCUCGGCGCCCAGGGGCGCGGGGCUUCGAGCACAGGGCGCAGCCACCGUGUCCGCACCAGAUCCAGGGUUGGAUCUACCUCCACAUGGACUCGAGGACACUCCCGACAGUGAAAGAAUUCAAGAUGCUUUUGAGGUGCAUUGGAGGGGAGCUGGAUCAGAAAUGGAACAGCUGGGACUUGAACUAGCACCCACAUGGGAUGCCGGCGUUGCAAGCGGCACCACAACACCAACCCUAAGAAGUAACAUCACCUUCUAUAGUUAACAGACCUAAGUUUUCAUGAGGCAUGUCAAUCACACUCACGGUUGGAAGAACUAACCUGUCCCACCAUGUCAGAAGCAAUGGGAAGGGUCGGCCAGAAGCGAGAAUAAAUUAUGAAGAAGACCAGCC